CUGGGGCACAGAGUUCACAUAAUAGAAUGCCUUGCCUUUACUUCAAGACAUAAAGAAUCUUCUUCCAACCAGGGGGUAUAUUUUAUCCUCUUUACAGUAUUCAUUUAGAAAUGGAAAUGAGCGCAUUGUCGCACAACAUAGAAGCAUGCCACUGUGUGUUGGUUGCUGAUAUUUAGACUGAAGUAAUAUUACAUAUUCCUGUCCAGGGCAAUAAACCAACAAGUUAUUUCCAGUCAUACACCGUCUCCACCUCCCCAUUCCCACUGGCCCCGACCUCCUUCCGGGAUGACAGCAUACUUGCCUCACUGACUGACCUCCAGCCACGCUGGCCCCCCAAUAACUGUACCUUCCAUGCUGCAGCCCAGUUGCCAGCUUACAGCUUCUUGGAAUUUCCUGAGUCAUAAGAGUAAUAGGAACAUCUUUCAUCAUAUUUGGUCUCUUGGCUUCAGUUCCUGAAAUUGCUUCAGAGCCAUAAAGGUGAAAUGGGGGUCUUGUUAUUCAUCGCGAGCUCCUUUCUACCACAACUCAAUUUACGUUAGUGAGGUGACUUGUGGGAGGCAUGUAAGGAUAGGGCUGGCUGCCCCGUGGCUGGACAGGGAAACCAACCAUAAAUACAGUAGUGGAACUUUCAGUCCCCACCCCCAAUUUCCAGGGAGGGGAGAAAGGCUGGAGGUUGAAUCAACCACCAAGGGCCAAUGAUUUAAUCAACUGUGCCUACGUAAUGAAGCCUUCAUAAAAACCUAAAAGGAGGGGGGUUCAGAGAAUUUCCAUGUGCCACAGUGCCAGGCCCCAACCUCCACAAGGAUAGAAGCUCCUUUCUUCAGGCCCUCAGCCUAUGUAUGUCUCCGUCUGGCUAUUGAUUCAUUCGCAUCCUUCAGUAUCCCUUGUAAUAAAUCAGUACCUUAGUGAAUAAAUGGGUUUUUCUGAGUUCCAUGAGCUGCUCUAGCAAAUUAAUAAAACCCAAGGAGGAGGUUGUGAGAACCUCUAAUUUAUGGCCAGUCAGAAGUACCGCUAACAACCCAGACUUGACAUUGGUCCCCUGAGUUGGAGAGCAGUUGUUGGAGCCUCCAAUUUGUAGCCAUAGGUCAGAAGCACAGGUUAACAACCUGGGCUUGCAACUGGCCUGUGAAGU